AAGUUAAUGCCUAUUGCCUUAGCCAACUAUAGGGCACACUCAAACAAAGUUAACGCCUUGGCCAUUUUCCUAUCUGAGAGAGAAACCUCGAGCUUUUCUUCAUUUCGAGCAAAAUCUGGAGCUUUUCUUCACCAUCUUCUCAAAACACUUAGCCAUCACAAAUCACCAUCUUUCAAAGUCUGGAUUUAGGUUCUAUUCGAUUAGGGUUCGAUUUGGGUUCUACUCGAUUAGGGUUCGAGUUGGGGGUUUUUCAUUCUGCUGAAAUGGGGGAUUUGGGUUCUGACCAAUCGAGUUGGGUUCUACUUGAUUAGGCUAUUUCUUCAGCCCCAGAGAGAAGAUAAAUCUCAUUCUUUGCAAGAUCCGCACUGGGUAUUUCUUCUCUUCUUCUCUUCAUUCACACCUGUUCUCUCAUCUCUCUUCUCAAAUUCACCAGAUCCGCCAAAGACGCAGUCCACACCGGAGCUCCGCCUUGCCCUUCCUCCUUCUCUUUUCUCCUCCCACCCCGAUGAGAACUAGAAAGAGAACGGGAAGCUCUCAAGGCCUCAAUCAUCUUCUCCAGCCCUACAUUUUUGGAGGAUAAAUCACUAAUUCCUGUCAACCUCUGGAUGAACAAUGCUCAAGCUAGAUCAAGCACUCACUAUGAUCCACACCAUAGCCUUCUCUGCUUAGUUUCUUGCUGUAAACAAGUGGUUUUAUGGCCUCCUUCAGCAGCUCUGGUGUUAUACCCUAUGCCAAUAUAUGGGGAGGCAUCAAAUCAUAGAAUCUUCAAUGGAGUACUCGCAUUCUUCAUGCAGGGGAUGCACUAUUUAUUCCUGAAGGCUGGUUCCACCAGGUGGAUAGUGAUGAUCUGACAAUCGCUGUCAACUUUUGGUGGCAAUCAAACAUAAUGUCAUGAUGUCAGAACACAUGGAUGC